CCGCGAAUCGCCCUUCGGGGUGCAGCAGGCGCGAAAACUUUACAAUGCGGGAAACCGUGAUAAGGGAACCCCGAGUGCCAGGUUCCUAUUCUGGCUGUCCUGAUGCGUAAAAAACACUGGAUAACAAGGGCCGGGCAAGACCGGUGCCAGCCGCCGCGGUAACACCGGCGGCUCGAGUGGUGACCGUUAUUAUUGGGUCUAAAGGGUCUGUAGCCGGCCGGGUCAGUCUCCCGGGAAAUCUGACGGCUCAACUGUCAGGCUUUCGGGAGAUACUGCCUGGCUCGAGGCCGGGAGAGGUAAGAGGUACUUCAGGGGUAGGAGUGAAAUCUUGUAAUCCCUGUGAGACCACCUGUGGCGAAGGCGUCUCACCAGAACGGAUUUGACGGUGAGGGACGAAAGCUGGGGGCACGAACCGGAUUAGAUACCCGGGUAGUCCCAGCCGUAAACGAUACUCGCUAGGUGUCAGGCAUGGUGCGACCGUGUCUGGUGCCGUAGGAAACCCUUGAACCAACCCCCUUGGAAAUACCGGCCCCAGGGU
rnacentral:rRNA from 1 species